GGCUGGCUUCAAAUCACGACUCAUCCUCGGCUGCUGUUCUUUUACAAGUGGAGCGUGAAGGUCCCCUUUUGAAUAUCGUUUGCUGCUGCCCUGAAGAAGCAAGCAAAAAAAGACCCAAGCAGGUAAAUUAUAUAGUCCACAGUCACACCAACCAGGCAAUAACAAUACUAGACACAAUAUCUGAACAUAUUUUUACCUUGUUCUUCUCCUUCCAUCCAGUCAAAACAGACACACACCUACACAUGGCCAUGGCAGAAGAUAAAGCUUGUUUCCUUUUUAUCCAAUCUUCUUUGCACUUUCAAACUUAGUACUAGUUGUACAAUUUUGUUGUCGCUCACAUCUCUACAUCUCUACUCUGAUAGUUUAGCAAAUAACCUAGCGAUUGUUUGAGAGAAUGGAAAAUCACAUUGGAGAAGAGUGUAUCAGAAGUUAGCCAUAAUCCGUUGGAAGACGCAGGACAAGUGACAGGCCCCAGUCCAAACAAGACCUGGAUCCAGAAAACCAAGGACCA
rnacentral:lncRNA from 1 species